UUCAUUGUGAACAGAUGAUUGCCAGGCAGGUUUGGUAGAAAGACAGGUAAAAAAUGUUUAAAUAAGUAAGUUGGCAGGCAAGGUAGGUUGAGGGCACUAGAACAUAUCAAUGAAAAAUGCAAAGCUACACAUCCAACUGGAAACUAGAUGGAAAAUGCCUGGUAUAUGGAGUAAGACUGUGAAGUGGAGGAGCGAAGGUGUAGUAGAGUCAGGCAUUGGCAGGAAAGCAGUCCACGUGGAGAGCAACACAAACUACUGGAGAGCAAUCCGGAAACUCAUUGGCUGUCAUUUGAAAAAGACUUUUAUGGGGCGAGGAACCAUAUUUGGUAACUUCCACACACACCCAAAAUGGCACACCCCUUCUUCACAGUGAGGUUGAGAGGCAUGUGAUUUACACCCAUCCAAUCAGCAAAAAUCACUCCACGUCAAAGAAUGCCCCAACAUGGAAUUUGACCAAUCAGCAGAGUCGUGGAACACAUCAAACUUCCUUUUUACUCUGAAGUUGGAAAAAGACGCUUUAUCGGCUCCGCCCACUUCAGUAAAUAAGGCGCAACAUCAAAACAAACCAUGAUGUUUUAUGGCAAAAGGAAGGAGAAUGUUGUUGUGCUAGCCCACCCUGCCAACAGUGACGAUGAUGAUGAUGUGACAGACCCUAACUUUGUCACACCCACCUGCAACCUGGAUAUU